rnacentral:sRNA from 1 species
AGUCUGCAAUAGAUACUUAUCCUUAAUAGUGAACGGUAAAUUAAGCAGAGGUUUUUACAUAUUUGGACAUUUAACUCUAAAAACUCUGAAAAAAGCACUUUUUGUUAGGGUAACGGAGAUGGACAUAUUCUGCUAUAAGAAAUAACGGUUUUACUCUCUAUCAUCUUCUUCUUUCCUUCUUUUUUGUUUUUGAUGAGUGAAAUCGAAAAGAUAGUAUAGGGAUUCCAAAUGGAUCCCAAUUAAAUUUGUAUUGAUGAGUAAAAUCUUAACCCUAAUGAGAGUAUAGGGAACUCAAAUGCUUCAAUCAUAGACACAUAUCGAAUCAAUUAUGAAUUUU